GCGAACAUUCUCUGUAUUUAUUAAUUAUUUUAAAUACAUUUUACAGUUUUCAAUAUCAAGAUAUCUCGUCAUUUAAACCACACGAACAACCAUCCUCUACAAAUACAAUAAAAUCGAUAGGGAGCACUUUCACAUAUUUAUAGCAAAGGGACAUUAACAAAAAUGUUAACCUUAUAGCUUUAGCUAAAGGCUACAAGGAACAUAAAUAGAAAUCUAUUUAUUAGUUCCUUUGAUCCUAGACCCUGUAACCCAAAACAUAAUGUAUAUUCAAGCGUACAAUAAUAAGGACCUCUUCGUAUUUAGAAUAUUUUUGUUUCAUUAAAUUCUAUUUCUUGAGUAAUAGCGGUCUCCAGGUCACGGAUAUACGUAAAUAAAGAUGUAGAAUUUUUCUUGAAGUAACUACUUCAACAAUUACAUUAAAAAUAGACUGAUGUUUGAUAAGAAUUUAUAAAAUUAAACGUUUCGUGUGAAAUUAGGUCGAAAAGAUCAGAUGGAAAUAAGAAAAUUCAACAAAGUAAAUAGAACAUAAUUUUACGUGGAGAGAGUAAAUUAAUUAAACAGUUUACCUAUUGAAACAAGAUUUUAUUUUGUUUCAGCGAAAUUUUAUGUAUAAUCGAAUAAGAUUAGGUGAAGGUGAGAAAAUUAAACUAAACUGAGUUAGUUUAAAUCAACAAAGGAAGAACGUAGUGUUGUACCGAAUAAGUUAACCAAUCGAGCCUAACAAAUCAGAUUCGGUAAAAAGACGUAAAAAUAAUUUAAGUUGCAACCACUUGUUUUGCUUAUAUUAAUCACAUACAGUUUUGUUAUAUCUUACAGCAUAUUUAAUUAAGUUUAAAACAAGGUCCUUUUAUUUAGUUCGCGCACAGCUAUUAAUUUGCAAAAUCGAAAUAAUUAAUUCUGCUCAGAUUGUCAUAAAUUUAAAUUCUCUAUACUCGAGAUUUUGCAUCUCCCUCCCUUCCAGCUUCGUUGUUUUCUAGCUGGUAUCUCGUCCGAAGUAAUGAAAAUAAUUGGUCACAUUUAUGUACCUAGAUACGUAAAAAGAAGUCUUCCUCGCGGAAAUAAAUGGAGCGCACUAUAUCUCGAUCAAGCGUUCUCAAAUGAGUUUAUUGCGGGCCGAACGCGCCAUCGCAGCAUUUCAGAUUUUCCUGGAUAUACAACUGGUUUACGUAUGAUUCAUGCAACAAUGUCGUCUCAAAAACGAGCAAACGCAUUUAUUUUGUUUAUGUCGAGGAUAAUUACUACAAUUAUCUAACAUCUACGAUAAUUCAUAAUGUUCACGAUAAAUUGAACAGAUUUAUUAUCGUUUCUAUCAUUUUUUUUAUCAAACAUUCCUCCGUUAUGUAAGCGAAAACAAAAAAUAAAAAAAAACAUACAUUCCUCCUAACUCGUGAUCGAUGGAACGAGAUUGAAAAAGUUCCUUUGGAGUUGCUGAAAACAAAGAUGUUUACUACAGUAGUAUAGGCGAUUGAAAGCUCCUAUUUCAUUCAGUUCACGCGUUCACACGGAUGUGUACUUGGAUUGCAACUUUUACAAUACAUACGUGAUAUACGUGACGUAGGAUGUAUAUUAAAAGACACAAAAUCACGAAAUAUUGCGCGAUAAUUCAUAAGCACAUACGCGUAGGUUCUGCAAUAAUAUUAAAUCGAUAAAGUUUAUGUGCGAGGCGAAAAAGAAGUUGCCAUAUAGACGACUGCGUUCCUGCUAACUGUAUCGACAACUGGCGAUCCGCUUUGACGCACCGAUCUCCUCUCACGAUCAGCCAACGUAUGCGGCGCAAAGCGCUAGAAAAUUACCCAUCGUAGCGAAAUCGAUGGGCAGCUUUCCUAGGAACGCGACACGCCUCCGGCAACCGGGCGUGAAGAGUGGGAACGUGCAUUAUUACGACAAUAGGAUGCGCGCACGCAUGUCCACGCAACGUCGCGUCGCCUCUGCUUCCAGAGGAACGUGAGCGUGCAAACACGUGAUCGCGUUAUGGUCCGUUCAUACUACUGCGAUAAACGGUAGAAUACAAUUGAAAUUUAAAAAGAGUUGCAUUUGAAGAGUCAAGAUAAACAGCAUCCAUGCGAAUCGAUUACGACAACUACUAGGUUCAGUCGAUAGGAACUCGAGCUUCGUUUCAAUCAAUGAAAUUAGGCGGAGUUUAAAGAUUUUAACAUCUCAAUUUCGACACUUUAUGUUAAAUGAUCUGAUCACUGUUUGCUAUCUAUAUGUACUUACGUCUCAUCGUUUAGCAAAAUGAUGAGUAUUGGAUCCUCGUAUUUUGGCAUCGUUUAUUUCAAUAUCGUGACGCGGAAUCGACGAUGUCCUGUUGAACAUGAAUCCUUAAUAGACGAUGAAGAGACGGCGAUGGAUUUGCAGCGCACGACUGUCGCAACGAUGUAAACGGGGCUUUACGCGUUUCUUGGCGCGGCAGUGCUCUGUGCUUAGGGACACAACCGCGGCGAGGAACCGUGGCGGCAGCUCAGGGAUGCCGCGUGCAUUGCCAUUAACUUGCCAUUGUUCCGCAACUGUGCAACGGUUCAUCCAUAAUCUUACGUGCUAUCCGCGAAUACAGUUAUGGCCCCGGGGACACAUGCAGUCGCUGCAGUCGCCGUGGCGGACCAUUGAUCAUGGAGAUGAUCUCCUCCUACGUGCCAGGACAGGUCGUGCGACCGAUACGUGCACGAUUCGGCGGAAGAUAGACAGGUGUUCGCGAAAAAGUCACGAUUCCGGGCUUGCGCAGCAUUCGGCCACGUGUGCAACGGAACGCUCUCGCGGUUUCCGCAUCGCUCGCGCUUCCUCCUAAGGAUAAUGUUCGCAUAUCGUGAUCAAGAUCGAGAGCUCAACAGCCGACGCUGCCCUGCCUCCUUCCAUCCGCGGAUGCUCCGACUGGAUCGUUGCCAUGCUCGCGAUUCGACCGUAUCCUUGGACCUCACGUUCUCAUACGUAAAGUGGAAGGUAUGGUUAUUUGAGUUACAAGGUUAUUCGAGACAGGCUAAGUAGUUUGGCUGGUCAUUUGCAAUUCACCAAAUUCGAUUAUGAAUCAUUUUUACGCGAUCUACGUAUACGCACAUGUAUAUAUGUAUUGAGCGUAGAAAUGAAUUCCUUUCGAUUUUUGUGCAAAGUGGGAGUUUUACUGUCGGAAAGAACUCAUUUAUACAACUAUUGUAUCGUGUACAUUGAUGGCUCAACCGGCGUUCGUAAUUUUCUACGAAAAUAUAACUUGUACUCGUCAGAAGAAAAGGAGUUUGUUGAGAUAAUGUUGGUAAUGUAAUUACAGAUCAUUUCCAAAGAUCCACUGGUUAUGAAUACUUCUUGUCUCAUUCACAAUCUCAAACCUUUUCUCAAUUUCUAAUGUUCUCUGUACAGUGGUGAAAGUAUGAUUGAGGAAAUACUCGCGUAAAUUCAAUUAAUUGUAUCAUUUCUAUUUUUUCUUUUGUAUGUACAACGUAAGCUUAGGCAAACUAUUAAAUCUAAAAAUCUAAUUCGUGGCGUUAUAAAUACAGAAUGACUUCCAAACUUUUGUUUCAAGAAAUAAUUACAAACUAAAUUAAUUAGAAUUUGCUAUGACUGACUUACUCCAUUUCUAUGCUCUCUGCUACGGUAUAAAACAAUUAUAUAGCAGCAAUUAUAUUUCUCUGUGGUACCGACUGAACCGAAAUACUUGAAUAUUCAUUAAAAUCUAAGAUAGUCAUCGCCAUAUAACCAAGUAAUUACCUAACAUUACGCGAACAGUUUAUUUCAGCCGUUUUAAUACAAUUCCGAUUCUUCAAGGAACUAAAGGAAAGUCAGAUACACACUCAGUUUCAUAAUUCCUGCGCUAUUCAACAGUUGUCCCAUUCAUACUUCUUACAUCACUUCAAUUCUUCGCUUUCUUCGAAACGCAUUACCAUUCAACCCCGGUUAAAUGGCUAGGAAACGCUGCGAGCAUCGGAAUGUCAUUAAUCCUUUUGUCACAUCCACUUCCGGAAAUCAUCGGUCCUCUACCAAGGCAACGUACUCGAUUACCUAAUACCGUCACGAUUUUUCUUGGACCGAAGAGGGAUGCGAGCACGACCAAGGACACUCUGCUCUUCCGUCGGAUAAUUCCAAUUCCGCGCCGGACAUUGACGAAUCAUCGAUUCGCGCGGGCAUCAUUAACCAACCGGCUACCUAUGUGCGUGCAACGUUGCCAAGCUCUGAAGAAGAAGGUUAUUGGCCAGCACAGUCUUUUCUCUACCCUUUUAUUUCCUUACUCGUGUUUUUGCCCAUUAAUUCCGUUUGUUUUCGUUAUUAAAAGUUUAUU